rnacentral:rRNA from 1 species
UACGAAGGGGGCUAGCGUUGCUCGGAAUCACUGGGCGUAAAGCGCACGUAGGCGGACUCUUAAGUCGGUGGUGAAAUCCUGGAGCUCAACUCCAGAACUGCCUUCGAUACUGAGAGUCUCGAGUCCGGGAGAGGUGAGUGGAACUGCGAGUGUAGAGGUGAAAUUCGUAGAUAUUCGCAAGAACACCAGUGGCGAAGGCGGCUCACUGGCCCGGUACUGACGCUGAGGAGCGAAAGCAUGGGGAGCGAACAGG